rnacentral:rRNA from 1 species
AACGAACGCUGGCGGCAUGCCUAACACAUGCAAGUCGAACGGAUGGCUUCGGCCAUGAGUGGCGCACGGGUGGGUAACGCGUGGGAACCUGCCUUUGGGUACGGAAUAACGCCGGGAAACUGGUGCUAAUACCGUAUACGUCCUUCAGGAGAAAGAUUUAUCGCCCAAAGAGGGGCCCGCGUCCGAUUAGGUAGUUGGUGGGGUAACGGCCUACCAAGCCAUCGAUCGGUAGCUGGUCUGAGAGGAUGAUCAGCCACACUGGGACUGAGACACGGCCCAGACUCCUACGGGAGGCAGCAGUGGGGAAAAUUGGACAAUGGGGGCAACCCUGAUCCAGCAAUGCCGCGUGAGUGAUGAAGGCCUUAGGGCUGUAAAGCUCUUUCGGCGGGGACGAUGAUGACGGUACCCGCAGAAGAAGCCCCGGCAAACUUCGUGCCAGCCGCCGCGGUAA